rnacentral:rRNA from 1 species
ACAGGGAUUGCCCUAGUAACGGCGAGUGAAGCGGCAACAGCUCAAAUUUGAAAUCUGGCGUCUUUGGCGUCCGAGUUGUAAUUUGCAGAGGGCGCUUUGGCAUUGGCAGCGGUCCAAGUUCCUUGGAACAGGACGUCACAGAGGGUGAGAAUCCCGUACGUGGUCGCUAGCCUUUACCGUGUAAAGCCCCUUCGACGAGUCGAGUUGUUUGGGAAUGCAGCUCUAAAUGGGAGGUAAAUUUCUUCUAAAGCUAAAUACUGGCCAGAGACCGAUAGCGCACAAGUAGAGUGAUCGAAAGAUGAAAAGCACUUUGGAAAGAGAGUUAAAAAGCACGUGAAAUUGUUGAAAGGGAAGCGCUUGCAGCCAGACUUGCCUGUAGUUGCUCAUCCGGGUUUUUACCCGGUGCACUCUUCUACGGGCAGGCCAGCAUCAGUUUGGGCGGUUGGAUAAAGGUCUCUGUCAUGUACCUCCUCUCGGGGAGAACUUAUAGGGGAGACGACAUGCAACCAGCCCGGACUGAGGUCCGCGCAUCUGCUAGGAUGCUGGCGUAAUGGCUGUAAGCGGCCCGUCUUGAACCACGGACCAA